GUCCGUUACAAUAUAUAUAGUGAAGCGAUAUAAUACGGCGAACAGCUAAGCUAAACACACCAGUUGUUUGUGAUGUCAUAAAGAAGUUCCUGUUUGCAACGUCAUAAAGAAGUCACCUGUUUGUGACGUCAUAAAGCAGUCAUUCUGCAUUUGCCCUAUAGGUGUUCAGCAGUUAAUGGGGAAGAGAAUGACCGGUGGAGGGUUGUGAUUAUCGUACCUUCUUGUGUUUUCAUCUUAAACGGCCACUCUCCUGGUGACCCCGAGACCAUGAGGCAGAUCGAGCCUCCGGGCUUUGACUGUAAUCGACGCGUGAACAAAGCCCACCAUUGUGGCUUCACGUUGGUCGUUGUUGCUUUCCUGCUCAUCGCAGCUUCAGCUGGAGAAGCCACUGCAGCCAACAUUCACUUGACCCGCACGGUCAGGGCAGAGGACUUGGAAAUCGAUCCAGAAUUGCAGCCAUUGGAGAACUUUCAGCAGGACGUUGUGGAUGAAGGCCGAAUGGAUGGACUCGGUGAUGGCGAGGAUCAGAACACCGUGGAGCAGAGGAUGCGGGGACGCAUUCGUCAGCUGCUCCAAAGGCUGAAAGACAACCGCUUGUGGAACCUCGUGGUGAUUGUGGGGAGCGCCUCGGCUGUGACUCUGAUCAUCAUGGUCAUUGUCGUUUUAUUGUGCAUCAGACGCAAACGUGGAGCGAAGUCAGAGGCUCUGGCAGAUGUUCAAGAAGACAAAGAAGAGGCAGGAGCGAACGAGUCCAGUGUGCUCGAAACAAACGACGAGGCCGAUGAUGCGACAGAGAGUGAUGAGGAGCCAUAACGUCAUUUUGAGCCGUGCCAUGAUUCUCACAAACAUUGAAGAAAAUGUCCAUUUUUGUUUCUGUAUAAUUAAUUGAACUCGUCAGGGUUAAACUCUUAAAAUGUUUUAUUAUAAAGAGCUAGAUCUGGUUGUCAUUCUGUUAUUCCUGUGUAUGCUUACCUUCUCGUAAGCCUGUUUAUUUAUUUACAAUUGUAGUUUGAAUACGACCUGUCCAUAAAAUAUCGUAAACAUAAUUCUAAUAAAAAUCCACCCUUCUGGUCUCUAACCUUUCUUCCUCAUGUCAAUAUCUCAAAUAACCAGCCAUUUGCUA
rnacentral:lncRNA from 1 species